GACAGAGGGUGCAAACGUUGUUCGGAAUUACUGGGCGUAAAGCGCGUGUAGGCGGCAGCGCAAGUCGGAUGUGAAAUCCCAUGGCUCAACCAUGGAAGUGCACCCGAAACUGCGUCGCUAGAGUCCUGGAGAGGAAGGUGGAAUGCUUGGUGUAGAGGUGGAAAUUCGUAGAUAUCAAGCGGAACACCGGUGGCGAAGGCGGCCUUCUGGACAGUGACUGACGCUGAGACGCGACAGCGUGGGGAGCAAACAGG
rnacentral:rRNA from 1 species